AGCAUCCCAGUGCUCACUAGUAAAAUUUAAACAAUACAGCAUGGCCUCUGUGCAAGGAUGACAUGUAAAUUCAUGAACUGUUCCAUAUUUUU
rnacentral:snRNA from 1 species